rnacentral:rRNA from 1 species
UACGUAGGGGGCAAGCGUUGUCCGGAAUUAUUGGGCGUAAAGAGCGUGUAGGCGGUCCGGUAAGUCAGCUGUGAAAGUCAAGGGCUCAACCCUUGAAUGCCGGUUGAUACUGUCGGGCUAGAGUCCGGAAGAGGCGAGUGGAAUUCCCGGUGUAGCGGUGAAAUGCGCAGAUAUCGGGAAGAACGCCGGCGGCGAAAGCGACUCUCUGGUCGGAAUCUGACGCUGAGGCGCGAAAGCUAGGGGAGCAAACGGG